GACGAACCGUGCAAACGUUGUUCGGAAUCACUGGGCUUAAAGGGCGCGUAGGCGGCCAACUAAGUCCGACGUGAAAUCCCAAGGCUUAACCUUGGAACUGCGUCGGAUACUGGAUGGCUUGAAUUGGGAGAGGGAUGCAGAAUUCCAGGUGUAGCGGUGAAAAUGCGUAGAUAUCUGGAGGAACACCGGUGGCGAAGGCGGCAUCCUGGACCGGUAUUGACGCUGAGGAGCGAAAAGCGUGGGGUAGCAAAACAGGA
rnacentral:rRNA from 1 species